UACGAAGGGGGCUAGCGUUGCUCGGAAUGACUGGGCGUAAAGGGCGCGUAGGCGGUUUGUACAGUCAGACGUGAAAUCCCUCGGCUUAACCGGGGAACUGCGUCUGAUACUGGAUGGCUAGAGGUUGGGAGAGGGAUGCGGAAUUCCAGGUGUAGCGGUGAAAUGCGUAGAUAUCAGGAGGAACACCGGUGGCGAAGGCGGGUCUCUGGGCCGAUGACUGACGCUGAGGAGCGAAAGCGUGGGGAGCGAACAGG
rnacentral:rRNA from 1 species